rnacentral:rRNA from 1 species
GUAGGUGGCAAGCGUUGUCCGGAAUUAUUGGGCGUAAAGCGCGCGCAGGCGGUCCUUUAAGUCUGAUGUGAAAGCCCACGGCUCAACCGUGGAGGGUCAUUGGAAACUGAGGGACUUGAGUACAGAAGAGGAAAGCGGAAUUCCACGUGUAGCGGUGAAAUGCGUAGAGAUGUGGAGGAACACCAGUGGCGAAGGCGGCUUUCUGGUCUGUAACUGACGCUGAGGCGCGAAAGCGUGGGGAGCAAACAGGAUUAGAUACCCUGGUAGUCCACGCCGUAAACGAUGAGUGCUAAGUGUUAGGGGGGUUUCCGCCCCCCUUAGUGCUGCAGCUAACGCAUUAAGCACUCCGCCUGGGAGUACGACCGCAAGGUUG